GAUGAACGCUAGCUACAGGCUUAACACAUGCAAGUCGAGGGGAAACGACAUCGAAAGCUUGCUUUUGAUGGGCGUCGACCGGCGCACGGGUGAGUAACGCGUAUCCAACCUGCCCAUCACUUGGGAAUAACCUUGCGAAAGUAAGACUAAUACCCAAUGAUAUCCCACGAAGGCAUCGGAAUGGGAUUAAAGAUUUAUCGGUGAUGGAUGGGGAUGCGUCUGAUUAGCUUGUUGGCGGGGUAACGGCCCACCAAGGCAACGAUCAGUAGGGGUUCUGAGAGGAAGGUCCCCCACAUUGGAACUGAGACACGUUCCAAACUCCUACGGGAGGCAGCAGUGAGGAAUAUUGGUCAAUGGGCGAGAGCCUGAACCAGCCAAGUAGCGUGCAGGAAGACGGCCCUAUGGGUUGUACACUGCUUUUAUAAGGGAAUAAAGUGGGUCACGUGUGACUUUUUGCAUGUACCUUAUGAAUAAGGACCGGCUAAUUCCGUG
rnacentral:rRNA from 1 species